CAAAUAUCAUUAUUGUCAACACUUGGCUAGGAAAGAGGAAAUGAUAUGAGAAGUCUUCUCAAAUGGCACACUUGUUCAACUUACUCGCCACUAGCAUAUACUGUGUUCAAAGCCAGCAACAUGCACAAUGACAUUUCACACGUAAGGCAUGAAGAGGGUGGUUUACAUAGCCUCAAACAAAGCUAGAGAUUCUCUUUUUGAUAUAUUCUCAGCUCAUAUAUAAGCUUUUACGGACGCAAUAUCUUCGCUGUCUGAAUGUCUUGGCAACGUGUGGUGGGAGAUUAUGCUAGACUACAUAACAAGCUGGUAAAAGAGAGUGAUGGCUACUCCUAAUUGGCACCCAUGGUAUAUAACUUGAGGAAGAUUAGAUUGUCGCCUUCUCUCUCAUUCUACGGAUCUUGACUGGGGACAUAUUGCAUACCUAAUUUUGUUGUUUUCGCCAUUAUAUUGGCAGUGUCUGCGAAGCAUCAUAUUGAUGCACAAUGAUCCUACUAUCCAGACAUGCUGCAGAAUAUGCUAGUAUAUGCGGCAUCUUUUUGGGCACCCACUGCAGUUGAAAGCUCAAUCUUGGUUAAAGAUUUACAUCACCUGAUUGUGGAAUCAGGCGUUGUUUACAGUAUUUUCCUCGUUCUGAGAUACCAGUACAUGAGAUAAAAGGCCAGAACAGCCCCAACAAUUAUUCCUGCUGUUGUAAGCCAGAAUGCAAACACAUGUUCCUCUAGAUAGGAUCUUAAGUUCAUGCCAAAUAUACCUGCUACCAGAGCACCAACAGCAACACAAAAUGUUCCAACCUGUAGAAUCAACUCAAAUCUGCUCACCUCAAGCCUUCGAGAACUCAAG
rnacentral:misc_RNA from 1 species